GAGCGGGCAGGCGCAGCCAUGUUCUGGGCCCCCGACAUGUCUGAGCGCUCGGACGAUGCGGCGGGAAGCCGCUCCCGCUGGGCGGCCGUCAAAAUCUGGGCAGGCGACGCGGGGGCUCCGCGGCCUCACUUGCAGGCCCGUCACGGCUGCUCUGCGCUGACCGCGGGGCGGGUCCCCGCGGGGCCACUUCCCAAAGUUCCAGCCCGAUGGGGGUUUGCCUCAGCGCCGGCGUGCAGAGAGCCAAGACCAGCUCCGAGAGCUCAGGGGAGGGCUUCGCAUCCGUUCAAGUGUGCAGCCCGAGAGGCUGGAACAAUUAAAAGCCUCGCGUCCGUAGAUGGAAGCUGAGGAACAGGCAUUACCUUCAGCCGCAGGGUCUCGUUUGCCACUUGAACUUUUCACUUGCUCAGCACCUAACCCAGACCCCCAACGGGUCACUUUUGAUGGACGAUUGAGUUUAAUAAUCCUUGUCAAGCCAGACACAGCAGACGUUGAACCUAAAUCGUCGCGCACCCAGAUCCACUAGAGGGCAGGUCUACACCUGCUGAGUUCCAGCGCAUCCUGCAAAGAACUCAGGAGACAGGAAAAGAAACGUCCUUCCUUAUAUGCUUAGAGGUGAGGAAAUGAAGGAUGAGGCACAGAAGGCUUGAGUAACUUGCUGAAGGUUCCAUAGCUCAGAAGCCUGGUGGAUCCAGGAUUCAAACCAGAGUCCAGUCUCUUACCGUCUAUACUCUUCUGCUGUUCUCAACUCUGUCGACGGAACCUCAGUUUGAGCUCUGGUCAACUCUGCUUUUUCCUGUCCAGACCUAUCCUUGGGACCAAAUAAUAGAGAAGAACACAUCUCCAGUUCACUGUAGACAUCACUGAACAGAGUUGCCUGGAAAGUGAACUGGGAGCAGUUAAACAUCAAGCUCAUUGCCAAUUUUCAGCUUUAACUGGAAUCACCUUUGCCUUUUCCUAUGGAAGAAAGAAAGUCUUAGAACAUCAAAGUAUUUCAAGAAGAACUGGAUUUUAACUGCUGAGCUGACCAGAGACAGAAGGCUCACACCGAUGGGAGCUGUAUAAUUUGGCUCUGUUUCUAACAUUCAGAGUUCUCUCUGACUCUCCAAAAUUUUAUCUACUUUGGUUGAGCUUGUUUUUUCCCCAAUCAAAUGACAUUUCUUGGAAUUCAUCAUCACACAUGCCUACUUACUUUGUGCAAAUUAUUUCAGGAUAAUUUACUAGCUGGGGAGAAAGAGGGAGGGCAGGAAGGAUGGAAG